GAUGAACGCUGGCGGCGUGCCUAAUACAUGCAAGUCGAGCGAACAGACGAGGAGCUUGCUCCUCUGAUGUUAGCGGCGGACGGGUGAGUAACACGUGGAUAACCUACCUAUAAGACUGGGAUAACUUCGGGAAACCGGAGCUAAUACCGGAUAACAUGUUGAACCGCAUGGUUCAACAGUGAAAGACGGUCUUGCUGUCACUUAUAGAUGGAUCCGCGCCGCAUUAGCUAGUUGGUAAGGUAACGGCUUACCAAGGCAACGAUGCGUAGCCGACCUGAGAGGGUGAUCGGCCACACUGGAACUGAGACACGGUCCAGACUCCUACGGGAGGCAGCAGUAGGGAAUCUUGCGCAAUGGGCGAAAGCCUGACGGAGCAACGCCGCGUGAGUGAAGAAGGUCUUCGGAUCGUAAAACUCUGUUAUUAGGGAAGAACAAAUGUGUAAGUAACUAUGCACGUCUUGACGGUACCUAAUCAGAAAGCCACGGCUAACUACGUG
rnacentral:rRNA from 1 species